GCAAGCAGAAGACCCCAGGGAAGCCGCACCCUUUCUCCCGAUCCUCUUCGUUGCCGCACGCGCUGUAGGGUGAAAACGGAUCUCGCCAUCAAGCUCGGAGUUCGCCGUUGUUCGCCGGUGGAUUUCGUUGCCGUUAGCGCAACAGAGGGAGAGGAACAAGCCGUCCCGACUUCACCAGAGCAGCCUCGUUUCCGUUGCCGCCGUCGCCUGCAGAGUACGCCCCGCCGCCUUUGAGCACCACCACCGCCUCCGCCACUCCCAGCCACAUCCGCCCGCCUCGUCACCCUCGUCGUAGAGUCACCGAAGGAGCAUUGCCGCCAACGCCCGAGACCGCCGCCGCCGUCCUCUGUUCUCUGAUUUUCCGGAGUGCGACGCGAGCUAUUGUCAGGAGUAUGACUUUCUGAACCAGAAC